UGUGUGUUAGUUUAAUUGGUAGAGCAAUGUGUUACGGCCACAUGGAUACAAGUUCGAGUCUUGUACAUACAG
rnacentral:tRNA from 1 species